GAGAAACUACCUUCAUGAACAACAAGUGGUGCUAUCUACUAGUAUGCAGGUGUGCGGGAGUAAGAAGCAUUCGUCCAGUAGUAUUAUUAGUAGUAGUGCGCUUAUUCUAGUUCUCGAACAAAAGAAAAGUAAGAUCUCAUGCAGUACGAUAUAGUCUCGUUGUUAGCCAGUUGUCAGGUGGUUCCACUCUCGUCUUAGGUAGUAGUGGUGCAGCGCAGCUACCUUUUCUGCUGAGUAAGCACUAUUAUUAUUUCUUAUAUAUAGCAAUAACUAACAAGACUUGAACUAGUACUAACAGAGUAACGAGAGAGCAGCAGAGUAUACUAGAUAUUAUUAUAUUCUUUUUCUUAUUCUUAUUAUUAUAUAUAGUCACACUGUACGAACAGGAACGGGGGAAGGUGGGUGGAUGAAGGUGGUUAUAGUAGUUAGUAGUUGCUAUACGAGAGAUUACUACUGCUGUUAGAAGUGGGCAGGUUUACUUUGAGGAUUACAUUGAUGAUCCGGACUCAGGCAACAAGGUAUGAUGCAUGCGUGUAGCAUAUGGGCUUAUACUAUGUGCUAGGAUACUAGUGGUGAUGAGCAGCUAGACUCAACUUAUUACACGAAGACACUACAGUGAUGAUGAGCUAGACUAGUACUCUUUGGUGUUAGGUUGCUCUCACACUCUACUACUAGAUAGGCUACACCUGCAUGACACUAGAAGACGACUAACUAGCAUCCGAGAAAACUACUUGAUUUCUACACUACUACUUCCAAGUCCUCACAUACCUAAGCUACUACCGAGAAAGAGAGGGGCUGUCAGGUUGAUACUGUAGUAUAAGCAGUAACCUCUAUACUAUAGAGCAGCUUGUUAGACUCUCUCAUGAGGUUGUUGCUUAUAUUGAAUAAUCCGAGUAUCACUGGACCACUAUAGCAAGAAAUCCUAGUCUAGUGAGCUAAGGUGGCAGUGUAUAAACAACUUACUUUCGUAGUGCAUGAUAAUAAGAAAUAGAUAGUAGGAAGCAACAAAGAGCUCACUGUCUAUGAUGUCAUUCGUCAUCAGUAGUAUCUUCUUCUCUAGUCUGUGCCCUAGUAGUAAGUAAGUAAGAAGUAAGUAACGAAGAGCUUACAUUCUAUCGUAAGGAGCAGCAGCAGGCAGCCAACAACUACCAUCAUCCAAAACGGAAGCAAGUGAACAACCUCAUCAUCUAUAUAUCACACUAGGUGCACUGAACGAACUAAGAACUAUACGCAUCCAUAAUAUUCUAAUAAUAUAUCUUACUUCUUCUUGCUUUCGUCUAAGACCUUACUUCUACUAUGAUAUCGAUAACCACAAAGUGAACCACUACUGACCUAUGCUUGUAGCCACACACACUCUCUCUCUGUCCGCAAACGGAACGACGGAAAGAACUUCUGUGCCCCUACUUACUUACUAAUUAUAAUACGACUAAAACGUAUACUACAACCGCAGCAACUACACAAAACAGAUUAUCCUCGCUCUACUUCUCUCUGGCUAUGCACCGACUCACUCCUGAGCACUCCUUACUUGUUGUGUUGCGUCUCCUGCUAUCCCCGGCUAAUAACGAUGAUACUAUUAUAUUACUACUACUACUAACUUCUAUUCGUUAAGCUUCCGGCCACUACUGACGAUUGCUCGUGUGUUAUUGCAGACUAGACAAAGCAGUUCCAGAGUCACAGCUGCUCUCUGUUGUUCUUUGUGAGCAACUAGUGAAAUGCAGUAAAACUACUACUUAUUACUUAUAUUAUAUAGACUCAUCCAACAACUCCUUCUAUGUCAGGUGCAGGCUACACAUCUACUGCAUGCAGCAUUUAGAACCUCAUCCUUCUUUUUUACUACACAACAACUACGAACUACGCUAGUUGAACGACCCGAACGCGGUUUCAACAACAACGACUUGAUUCCUCCCUCAUGAUUGCUACUCACUAUUACGACCCUUAUACUCUACUACUGUGAUGAGUGGGGAUGGGGAUAGUAAUUUAGUAUGAACGCUUUGUGUCAUAGCUGUCUAUCGUAGUAGGCCUAUGCGGUCAUUGACUUCCUCCUCCACGGCUGACUUUUCUCUCUCACUACUAAUAUAACUACGUAUACUACUAAUAAUUAGACUAAAACGUAUACUACUAAAAGAAUACUACUAUACGUAUACGACUACUACUUAUUAACAACUAAACGAUAACAAGCCUCGAGAAGCAACUAACCACCAACCUACUACUACUAUAAGCUGGAGUCAGAACAACCACAUCGUCUGCCUACUAGUAAGGGGCGGCUACAACCACCAGGAAUUGGGUAGUAAGCUGUAGGACAUCUAUAAGCUAUUCACAGUCGGCAGCU
rnacentral:lncRNA from 1 species